AUUCUUUCGCAGAGGCGAUAUCAUAACCUGUGAGGUCCAGCUGAGGAGUGAUUAUUUGCUGGUUGAAAACUUAUCCCAAAACCCUGCUUGGAAUGACUUGAAAUAUAAUCAGAAGUAGUCUUGGGGAGAAUAGACUC
rnacentral:snRNA from 8 species